UGUUACACUUUAUAUAAAUUAUAAUAUUACCUGGGUAUUAAACAGUUAUUGUCUUGAAACUCAAAGGAUUUGGCGGUAAUUUAGUCUAUUUAGAGGAACCUGUCCUGUAAUCGAUAGUCCACGAAAAAUCUUACUUUAUCUUGUAGAAAACAGUUUGUAUACCGUCAUUAUUAGAUAACUUUAAUAAAAUGUAAAGUUAUUGAAAGAGCAUAGCUAAUAUAUUAGAUCAAGGUGCAGCUUAUGGUAAAGGAAGAGAUGGGUUACAAUAUAUUAAAUAUAAACGGAGUAAUAAUUGAAUAUUUAUUAUUGAAGGUGGAUUUAAAAGUAAGAAGGUUUUAAUAAGAUCUUUUGACCUUAGCCCUAGAUUAU
rnacentral:rRNA from 1 species